GCACGCGUGGCGGAACUGGCAGACGCGCUAGACUUAGGAUCUAGUUCUUCACGGAGUGGGGGUUCAAGUCCCUUCGCGUGCACCA
rnacentral:tRNA from 1 species